rnacentral:rRNA from 1 species
GGGCCCGCACAAGCGGUGGAGCAUGUGGUUUAAUUCGAUGAUACGCGAGGAACCUUACCAGGGCUUAAAUGUAGUCUGACAGCUUUAGAGAUAGAGUUUUCUUCGGACAGAUUACAAGGUGCUGCAUGGUUGUCGUCAGCUCGUGCCGUGAGGUGUCAGGUUAAGUCCUAUAACGAGCGCAACCCCUGUUGUUAGUUGCCAGCGAGUAAUGUCGGGAACUCUAAACGAAACUGCCAGUGCAAAACUGUGAGGGAAGGUGGGGAUGACGUCAAAUCAUCACGGGCCCUUACGUCCUGGGCUACACACGUGCUACAAUGGCCGGUACAGAGAGCAGCCACUUCGCAAGAAGGAGCG